rnacentral:rRNA from 1 species
AACGAGCGCUGGCGGCAUGCCUAACACAUGCAAGUCGAACGAGACCUUCGGGUCUAGUGGCGCACGGGUGCGUAACGCGUGGGAAUCUACCCUUGGGUUCGGAAUAACAGUUAGAAAUGACUGCUAAUACCGGAUGAUGACGUAAGUCCAAAGAUUUGUCGCCCAAGGAUGAGCCCGCGUAAGAUUAGCUUGUUGGUGGGGUAAUGGCCUACCAAGGCGACGAUCUUUAGCUGGUCUGAGAGGAUGAUCAGCCACACUGGGACUGAGACACGGCCCAGACUCCUACGGGAGGCAGCAGUGGGGAAUAUUGGACAAUGGGCGAAAGCCUGAUCCAGCAAUGCCGCGUGAGUGAUGAAGGCCUUAGGGUUGUAAAGCUCUUUUACCAGGGAUGAUAAUGACAGUACCUGGAGAAUAAGCUCCGGCUAACUCCGUGCCAGCCGCCGCUGUAA